UAUACUCUUAUACAUACCUGGGAAGAGAGAAUCACAAAUGAGUAAUUGUCUCUGUCAGAUUGGCCUGUGGGUAUGCCUGUGUGGCAUUUUCUUGAUUGCUGCUUGGUGUAGAGGGGCCCAGACCUACCAUGGGGCAGUGCCAAACCUGGGCAGGUGGUCUUGGGUUCUAUGAGAAAACAAGCUGAGCAAGCCACAAAUAAGCAAACUAAUAAACAAAUUUCCUGCAGGGCCUCUGCUUCAGUUUCUGCCAUUGUGUCCCUGCCUUGAGUUCCUGCCCUGACUUCCCUCAGUGUAGACUGUGAUGGGAAAAUAAUGUGUAAUGAUAUGUAAGGUGAAUAAACCUUUUCCUCCCCAAAUUGCUUUUUAGUCAAGAUGUUUUAUCACAGCAGAAGAAAACAGGACAGAUUGAAAUUCUAAACACCCUGUUUGCCUCGACAUAUUGUCAAGGAAAAACAGACCAUGUGGCAAAUUGCUGUCAAAAAAAAAAUCAUCGACCCUUGCAAAUUUGUUAUGCAAUAAAUUCUGACACUGUGGGAUGACACGAACAUGUUCAUCUGUGUUUCUGGCAUAGUAGUUGCAUGACCUUCAGUGCACAUAUUUAUUUCAAAAUCUGACAAAAUGGCAAUUAUGUGCCCAAAGAACUGUGUGUUAGCCAUUCCCCAGGGACACUGUCACCGCAGCAUGGGAGAGUCCUGUGAGUGAACAGCCCCCUUCAGAGUUACAAGGUUAGUGAUGCUGCUUCUACUAGGGGCUAUUUUCAGCUGCUCAGUAUCUGGCCAGCAGAACCCAAAGCCCCUGAGCACGGAUGCAGUCUUUUGAGUAGCCUCCACUGAAUAAGUGUUUGUGGAAUGGAUGAGUGGAGGUCCCACAGGGCCAUGCAUUUAUCAUUGUGCUCAGAAUCUUGCACUAGCUCAUUCCUUAUCCUGCCUUUGCAGACACUGUUUCAAUGGGGAAAAUAAGCCUUCAGCCAGGAGGCACCAUUAUCUCCCUUGCUUCAUCCAACCUCUGCUGUGAAAGGCACAGAGCUAAGAAGAAGCAUGCAGCAUCUUUCUGCACAGGAUUUGGGCCCUUUCAGUGUUGUGUUGUUGAAGUGUCUGCAUGCCAGAUAAUGUGGUUAGUCAAUGAGCUUCUAGACACAUCUAUGGUGUCCUUCAGGCUUAAGGGAAGCAGUUGAAGGUUGCUUACCAAAAUUACUCAUACAUUCUGAUACUUAAUACCCAAAUGAAACUCUGGCAGGUACCUGCUCCUGUUUAUUGUGAGAAUCCAUUGGCCCCCUGAACACACCUGAGCUUUGGCAUUCUCUAGCUACCCCGCUAUUUAUUCUUAGAAAUUAUCUGGAGGCUGGAAUGGAGUCAUGACAGAAUAUGGUCCAAUACAAGAGGCAGCCUGUAUUGUUUGCACAAGGAAGAACAUCGUUAUUUCAAGGCAUCAGAAUACUUAUAGUCCACAGCACCUCAAUGUGCCAGCCUGUGAGGAGGCCAGGUCUCUUCUGGACAGUUGGCCACAGUCUCUGGACUCUGGGAAAAUGUAGAGAAUGACAUCUUUCUCUGUGCCUGACCCAUGAUUCAACUGUAAUCUUAGGGCAGGUACCUUAGCCUAUGUAGCGCCAACAAGCCAGACUCAACCACCUCUUGAAUAUACUAGUUUAAAAAGGAAGUAAUGAUGAAAACCAGAGAGUGGAGAAUCAGUCAGUGGGGCCAACUGAGAAGAACAGAUGAAGGAGCCCAGAGACUAAGUUUAUCUUUGGGGUACAGACACGAGCUUAGGCUUAAACAUAGAAAGAACUGGAGUAUACAUUAGUCAUCCUGGACAAAGCGUGGUUCUAUUCAUCAGUAUCUCAGCCACCGUCUUGCAAGCUUGAGUGUUCAUGUCUGUCAUCCUCUGAGAGUGAUGCUUGUGUAGAGCUCAUCAUCUUCAUCACAGAUCACUGCUCUCAUCCUAGGGGUCUAUCCUGACCUUCCUCACGUAGAGGUGGCUUCAGUCCUUUGUCACAAAGAUGUUGAUUGACCUAUCCUUCUGUUCUUGGAACCCGAGCUGUCUCAAGAGCUGCAAGCCUACAGUUUUCCAGGAAUUUCACCCAGAAAUCCCAUGUACAGCCACGAACCCUGAACUGGCCUGAAUCGAGGUCCCUAAAGGAUGAAGAAAACUCAUCAGGCUGUCAAGAGUGACUUUGGGGUAACCUGAAUCCAUCUUUGAGUUCCAUCUGUUGCAGAUUUGGAAAUAUGGAAGGUGUUUGGGGAAACGCCGAAGAGCAUGUGUCUUGGAACAGCAGAGUCCUCCUUGCUCAUAGCCUCUCUGGGAUCACCCUAUUUUCCUCCCAGCAUCCUUUGCAUCUUCUACAGCUGUUUUCUAUUUAAUCUGGUGUUUGCCAUUGUUGUCCACAGAAUGGUUUGCCAACACAAGCUGUUCCCCUAUUGGAGGCUGGAACCUGUGAUUUAAUUCAAAAGACAGAUGGAGCUCAGACUCUACAUCAGAGUCUUAACUGAGACCAUCUGGGUGUGCAUCCCUGCCUGCCAUGCUUGGCUCUGAGGUCCUGGCCACUCUUUCUUAAUUCUGAUAUCCUCAGCUGCAAAAUAGAGGGAUGGUUAUCUGGAAGACACAAAAGUCUCCCCGAAGAUGGAGUAAAUGGGUGCAUGUGCAUCUCCUAGGGUACAUCUCCUAGGAUGGCAGUGCUGCAUUGGUGACUAACUCCUGCCCAUCACCAUCCCUGGGGCAAGCUCUUCUUUUCUACUACAAACAAAAAACAACAGCAAAGCCUGUCUCUGUCUUUACCUGCUCUUCUAACUGAAUUCUGGAACAAGAGACUGGUUAAUUAUCACAUUAAAGU